CUACGGGCCGCAGCAGUGAGGAAUAUUGCACAAUGGGGGGAACCCUGAUGCAGCAACGCCGCGUGGAGGAUGACGCAUUUCGGUGUGUAAACUCCUUUUAUAUGUCAAGAAAAUGACGGUAGCAUAUGAAUAAGCACCGGCUAACUCCGUGCCGGCAGCCGCGGUAAUACGGAGGGUGCAAGCGUUACUCGGAAUCACUGGGCGUAAAGGACGCGUAGGCGGGUUGGAAAGUCAGGUGUGAAAUCCCACAGCUUAACUGUAGAACUGCACUUGAAACUUCUAAUCUAGAGUAUAGGAGGGGGAGAUGGAAUUAGUGGUGUAGGGGUAAAAUCCGUAGAUAUCACUAGGAAUACCUAAAGCGAAGGCGAUCUCCUGGAACAUUACUGACGCUAAGGCGUGAAAGCGUGGGGAGCAAACAGGAUUAGAUACCCUCGUAGUC
rnacentral:rRNA from 1 species